UACGAAGGGGGCUAGCGUUGCUCGGAAUCACUGGGCGUAAAGGGCGCGUAGGCGGCCAUUCAAGUCGGGGGUGAAAGCCUGUGGCUCAACCACAGAAUUGCCUUCGAUACUGUUUGGCUUGAGUAUGGUAGAGGUUGGUGGAACUGCGAGUGUAGAGGUGAAAUUCGUAGAUAUUCGCAAGAACACCGGUGGCGAAGGCGGCCAACUGGACCAUUGACUGACGCUGAGGCGCGAAAGCGUGGGGAGCAACAGG
rnacentral:rRNA from 1 species